ensembl:lncRNA
UGAAUUUUUGAAAUGUCUUUUCCUGAUUGUCCAGCUUGGUGAGCACACUUUGCAGCUCUCUGUUGUUGUGAGGAUCUGACCCUGCCGGCGACACGCUCUGGCUUGGAGUAGACGAGAGAUAUUGGAUCUCUGCAGCCUAUGGGCAGAAGAGGCUGAGCAAGCACAGCUACAGACCAGCCAUAGAAUUGUGGACAUCUACCAGCAGAUUGCAUGGGGGAUGCAGAAGGGGUAUGACAGGGACCAGCAGAAGUGACGCGUGCGUUGAAGGAAUUGCGUCAGGCAUAUCAGAAGGCCAGAGAGGCCAACACUGCAGUCGAUUCAGUGCCGAGCCACAGACCUGAAGCUUUUACAAAAGGCUGCAUGCCAUGUUUGGUGGAGACCCCACCUCCACCCUGCAGACCACAAUGAAUACCACAGCCUCCUGGUAUGAACCAUGAGAAAAUGGAGGAAGAGGAUGUGUGACAUGCAACCAAGGGGUCCAGCCAUGCCAUUAGCCAGAACCUGUUUGAGACUCUACCACAGUCCAGUCAAUCCAAGCAGCAAAGCAUGGUUAGCCCAAGGAAGCUCAGGACCUAGAAUGAGAUCACCCGAACAUUUUAUAGAGGACCCAAGCAGGCGAUAACUAAUGUUGAUCAUUAAAUCAAAGCUGGAUUUGACUUGGUGACCUAGAGAGACUGCCCGGUUUGGCCAAUGUACAUGGCAGAGGGGCAUUGCUGGCACUGGUCAGUGUGUGUUAUGAGAUGCCAUCUGUGCGUGUGUGUAACAGAAAAUAUGUUACAGCCCUCAUCUACAGCACCUAGCUCAAGUUGCCAAGACUCCUGCUUUCAGCUCUGGAGAUCCCUGGACCAAUCUCUAGGUUGGUGAAGAUGGCAGCCAUCACACAAGCAAUAUGGUGGGUAGAGUUAAUGACAUAGCUCAGAUCAUAUUGUUAAUGGAUGUGUUACAUGUAUAUCGGCUGUGGAGCCCAUUUCAGGCUUAGAGAGAACCAUAUGAGCAAACCUCUGUUUGCACAGAGUUUCAGUAGGGGACAGUAUGGUGAUGAGUUCAUUGUCUAAGUGGAGCCUUAGUUAUUAACACCUAAAAAAUAUUAAAAUUGACUUUCAUUGUCCAUGCUGAGAUGGCUGACAAGUUUUUUUUUUUAAAGCAUAAAUAUGGUACAAAGUAAAAUGGAGACUUAAAAAUUGUCAAUUUUUAAAAAAAAAUUAAAAAAUCUUCUCAGGCUUGAGUAGAAAAAUCUGAACAGCAUAGUUUCACUUAGGUUCAUAGCCAAUUUAUUUCUACUAUUGUAAACCAUUAAAUGUCUGGGUUACAAAUAGACAAGAUGGGUGAGGUAAUACUGCAGCCAAAGUUUUGUUUUAAAGUAACUGUUUAUACUGGUAUUAAAACAAACCUAUAAAAACUUCUACCUUUUCUAAAAGCAUGAUUUUACCAAGGCCAAAUCUGAGUUGCCCCUUAACUUGUAUGGGUUUACAAUCAGAUUUUCCUGUUUUAAAAAGUCUUUCACCACAGUUGAGAGAGAAACAAGUGCACGGUGAAACUGACCCCAAGGUGCCCUCACGUGCACAUUGUAAAACACAGUACAUUUAGAAACCAAACAUCACUUUUGCCUCUCUUUAAAAAAAAAAAAAAAAAUAGCUGUAGGUGUCCCUGUAGCAGGACCCAUCUGUGUUC